GUGGGGAAUCUUGCGCAAUGGGCGAAAGCCUGACGCAGCCAUGCCGCGUGAAUGAUGAAGGUCUUAGGAUUGUAAAAUUCUUUCACCGGGGACGAUAAUGACGGUACCCGGAGAAGAAGCUCCGGCUAACUUCGUGCCAGCAGCCGCGGUAAUACGAAGGGGGCUAGCGUUGCUCGGAAUUACUGGGCGUAAAGGGCGCGUAGGCGGACAGCUUAGUCAGAGGUGAAAGCCCAGGGCUCAACCUUGGAAUUGCCUUUGAUACUGGCUGUCUUGAGUUUGGGAGAGGUGAGUAGAACUCCGAGUGUAGAGGUGAAAUUCGUAGAUAUAGGAAGGAACACCAGUGGCGAAGGCGACUACCUGGACUGAUACUGACACUGAGGUGCGAAAGCGUGGGGAGCAAACAGGAUUAGAUACCCUAGUAGUCC
rnacentral:rRNA from 1 species